CUUCCGGAUUCCGCAGCUCUGUUGCAAAACUGCGGUUCUCAGUGAGAGGCCUGGUGCAGGGGACGAGGAGCAGAUUACAGCUAGACGACAGCGGUGAGCGAGGGGGCGGGAAAGCGGUCAGGAGGACCCUGAGUAUUGACAAGUCCCACGGCGUGGAAGGGAUAAGGAAGCAGCCUGUUCACCGAUGAGGAACCAAUGGCUGAGUCUUAAGCGGAAAACGACCAGUCAGAGAAGUCAGCAGAAGGACAAGGAUGCGGAAA